AAAAGUGUGAGUGUGAAUGCAAGAAAUCAUUUUUGUAGAAAGGUGUGAGUGUGAAUGCAAGAAAAUCGGAAAAGUGGGUGGUGAGAUUUUUCCUAAGCUCUACACGUAUCCACCCCAAAUUUUCCACAUCUCUUAUCUCUUUUGCUGCCCCAAAAGUCUCCUCCUUGCCUUAUUUUCUUGGCUACAUCAGAUCAAAAUUCCAGCCCCUCUUUCCCUAUUCUUUUCCUUGUUCUUUGUUUCUUUCUUCUCCCCUUCUUACAUGGCAGCCCUCCCUCUCUCACCAAAGCAAAAUAUCUCUCUCUAAAGAAGAAAUUAAAGAGUUAACACUAAAAUUUCAGCUUCAAAUUGUUGGGGGUGUUACCAGUAUCCAAGUCUAAGCUCUUUCAACUUUAGGCUCUCGGUUCCUCUGCUUUCAGGUAAGAGAUAAGUUAUAUGAGCAUUUGGUAAGUCAUGAGGUUAUUUUAAAGUAUAUUAUGCAUUAAAAUUUUUUUGAUUAGAGAUAUGGCAUGUAAUCAUUAUUCUGACAAAGAUAUGUUCGUGAGCUUUCGAAAAACUUAUGUAUAUGAUUUAAGCAUAUUGAUGCCAUUACUAAUUUCCACAAACAUGAUGUUUAAUGAAAAUAAUGGAAAUGCUAUUAUUAUGAGAUGUUAUGCAAAAUAAGAAAUUUCAGUAUAAUGUAAAGUACGAAAUGUUUUCGGGUUAUGUCCUCUGGUGAUCUGAACUCUACUAGUAAGGGUUAAUUACUAACUUUCCAUGGAAAACGUUAUAUGAUUGGCCAUUAUAAGUGGGACUAGCUCUGCUGUACCUGCCCCUUGUUGGUUAUGGCCAACUUGUGGGGGAAGCCAACCUACCCCCAAUGGUUGGAAGAUAUGUAUUAUGAUGUAAUCCCGGGAAUACCUGGCAUUGUGGAGAAUAUUGGAUGCCUAGCACCGUAGUGCUAGAAGCCUCCCAAAUAAGUACAGACUUAUCAGAUAUGGGCUAACCAAUAAGUUAUUUAUGAACAGCUAUAUUAUGUUAUUAAUCAUGAGAGAAUGAUUUUGUUAAAUGCAUUGUGAAAAGUUAAAAGCUCUCAUGAAAAUAAUUCUAAUGAAAAGAAAGCUGUUCGUUAAAGAUAAAAGUUUUUAAAGUUCUGUUGUGCUAUAAAGAUAAAGUUUCUGAUGAAAGUACAAGUUUAUGUUUAAAAGUUAUUAGAUAUCUGUUUUUAUGAAACGUUAAGUUUUAUGACCAUGAAAGUUAUAGUAUUCUAUGAGAAGAAGUUUAUAAAGAAAAGUUUUCUUAUUAGUCAAGAUGUUUCUAGUUUAAUACAAAGUUGCCGAUUAUCUGAUUUAAGUUAAAAUAAUUAUUUUGUAAUGAGAAUAUAUAUAUAUGGUGACUUUGUAGGAAAUGAAAGAAGUUUAAUCCGAAAGGUUUUGAUAAUAUUAAACUGAUAAGAAAAAGGAGAACAAUUAUUUUCUAUGAAGAGCGUAUAAGCUAUUAUUAUGAAUAGUAUAAAAUACUAUGCAUGAAAAGAUGUUCUCCUGUUCGAAUAUUCAUAGAAUGAAAUGAUUUGAUUUACAUGCAUCCUUAUUAAAUUCUCAUAUAUCUUACCUUUACUGAGCUGUGUAGCUCACUCCUUCCACUCUUUCAGUUAGCAGGUUUUAUUUUGGAGCAAAGAGAGCAUUAGUCGAGUUUUGGAAGGAGCUGGUUUUAGUUUUAUAUCUAUAGAUUCUAAUUUAGCAAUUUGAUGUUUAGCUUUGUAGUAUUGUGUAUUUUAGGAUCUAAGGAAAGUUGUAUACCUUAAAGUAUUAAGAGAUGUAUUAUGUGAAAGUGUGGAAAUUAAAUGAUUGGUAGAUUAUGUUAUAUUUCGAGUACAGUGUAGAUGCUCUAAAUGUCAAGUGAAAGGUUAUAUAAUUUAAGUAAAGAAACAAGGAUUUAAAGAAAGAGGAAAGCUUUUGUAAAAGUUUUCAAAAAGUUAAGUUGGUUCUUGUUAAUAUCAGGUUUAGGCUUGAUAUUAGCAUGCCGGUCAUGGUCACAAAUCCGGGUAUCGGAUUUGGGGCGUGACAAUAACCAUCAAUUGAAAGUUUGAAACAAUCUGGAUGUCCUCUUUAGAUGAAUUUUCUUUCAUGAUGACAUGGUUGAUGAUGUCAAUCUUGUUUAAAUGUAUCAUAAUACAUCUAAAAACAAAACAUAAAAUAUGUUAUGAAAAGAUCAUCAUGUGACCUUAACAUUUAAACUAAGGUAAAAUAUCAUUUUCAUCCCUAAACUAUUACAAAAGCUCGUUUUUCAUCCUUAAAAUUUCAAAAGUUUUAUUUUCAUCCCUAAACUUUUCCAAACGUAAUGAUUUUCAUCCCUCCGUCUAUUUCUGUUAACUUAUGUCUUAUGUGGCCUGACAGAGUGUUGAUGUGAUAUCUAACUUGGAUUAAAAUUAUUUUAUUUAAAAAAAUAUGAAUACGUGGCAAAUAAUUAUAGUGCACGUGGGUAUCAUUUUUUAAAAGCCCAAAAUUACCCCCCUCACUCUCUCAGUUAACCCUCACUCUCCAUUUGUGUAUCACUAAUUCUUCAUUCAUGAAACCCUAAUGCCCAAGCCCCUCAACCCACUAUAACAACCCAAUCGGUGACCAGAAUCAACUAGUCCAAACCGGCCAAAGAUCCAAGCUAAUUAGCCUCCCUUUGCUGACAUUGAGGAGAUGAAAUAGAGUUUAGAACUCCGCCAUGAAGUUGCUAUUGAAAUCAAAGCGUACUAACUUAUAAGGAUGGAUGAAGACUUUCAAUUCACCAUAUGUCUUCAUUAUGGUGGGAAAUUUAAGAAUAAUCCAUUCAAGUAUGAUGGGAAAGAUAAAGAAGCUUGAAGAUUACAACCACAACCACAGGCUAGAGGCAACGCUGGAGUGUCACUAGAGACAAUGGUUGCAGCAAGUCAGGGAUGUAGAUCUAGGUUCUAGUAGUAUUUUAGAACAUAGUAGUGGGGGAUAAGAUGACCUAAAUACUAUCCAUUUUGUGUAUGCAAUGCCAUACAAAUUUGUAAUGUAGUGGAAAUAACUUCUUCUUCUUUUUUUUUUUUCUUUUUUUUUUUUUUUUUUUUUUUUUUUUUUAUGGUUGUAUGAUUAAUCAUGGAUACUACCCAUUUUGUGUAUGCAAUGCCAUACGAAUAUUUAAAAUUUUUAAUGUAGUGGCAAUAACUUAUUGUUU